rnacentral:misc_RNA from 1 species
GAUGAAGAACGUAGCAAAAUGCGAUAAGUAAUGUGAAUUGCAGAAUUCAGUGAAUCAUCGAAUCUUUGAACGCACAUUGCGCCCGCUGGUAUUCCGGCGGGCAUGCCUGUUCGAGCGUCAUUUCAACCCUCAAGCCCCCCGGGUUUGGUGUUGGGGAUCGGCUCUGCCUCACGGCGGUGCCGCCCCCGAAAUACAUUGGCGGUCUCGCUGCAGCCUCCAUUGCGUAGUAGCUAACACCUCGCAACUGGAACGCGGCGCGGCCAUGCCGUAAAACCCCGACUUCUGAAUGUUGACCUCGGAUCAGGUAGGAAUACCCGCUGAACUUAAGCAUAUCAAUAAGCGGAGGA